rnacentral:rRNA from 1 species
AUUGAACGCUGGCGGCAGGCCUAACACAUGCAAGUCGAGCGGAUGAAGGGAGCUCGCUCCUGGAUUCAGCGGCGGACGGGUGAGUAAUUCCUAGGAAUCUGCCUGGCAGUGGGGGAUAACGUCCGGAAACGGGCGCUAAUACCGCAUCCGUCCAGAGGGUGAAAGUGGGGGAUCUUCGGAGCUCACGCGAUUUGCUGAGCCUAGGUCGGAUUAGCUAGUUGGUGGGGUAAAGGCCUACCAAGGCGACGAUCCGUAACUGGUCUGAGAGGCUGAUCAGUCACACUGGAACUGAGACACGGUCCAGACUCCUACGGGAGGCAGCAGUGGGGAAUAUUGGACAAUGGGCGAAAGCCUGAUCCAGCAAUGCCGCGUGUGUGAAGAAGGUCUUCGGAUUGUAAAGCACUUUAAGUUGGGAGGAAGGGCAGUAAGUUAAUACCUUGCUGUUUUGACGGUACCAACAGAAUAAGCACCGGCUAACUUCGUG